AUAGCCUCGAAGGUGGAAUAUAGGAACACCUUCUGGUUCAGACAGAGGCUUAUAUCAAAACUCGAAUCAGAUUGGAGAGGGUGAAAAUGCUUUUUACCCAUCGAAAUCUUCUUCCUUUUCUUGGAUAGAUUCGAAUAUCU
rfam:Brassica napus, WGS project CCCW01000000 data, contig: 22661